rnacentral:rRNA from 1 species
AGGACGAACGCUGGCGGCGUGCUUAACACAUGCAAGUCGAGCGGUAAGGCCUUUCGGGGUACACGAGCGGCGAACGGGUGAGUAACACGUGGGUGAUCUGCCCUGCACUCUGGGAUAAGCCUGGGAAACUGGGUCUAAUACCGGAUAUGACCUGCUCUCGCAUGGGGGUGGGUGGAAAGAUUUAUCGGUGCAGGAUGGGCCCGCGGCCUAUCAGCUUGUUGGUGGGGUAAUGGCCUACCAAGGCGACGACGGGUAGCCGACCUGAGAGGGUGACCGGCCACACUGGGACUGAGACACGGCCCAGACUCCUACGGGAGGCAGCAGGUGGGAAUAUUGCACAAUGGGCGAAAGCCUGAUGCAGCGACGCCGCGUGAGGAUGAAGGCCUUCGGGUUCGUAAACCUCUUUCGAGCGAGGACGAAGCGACAAGUGACGGUACCUGACAGAAGAA